GAAACGACGGUUCUCCGAGCUUUCUCUCCUACGUCCACAGAUAGGGAGAUUAAGCCGUGGCAAUAGUGCCACCGGGGUGAGGAAAGAAAUUGACUCACCUCCCCUUACUUGGAAAGGUGAUCAUGUCUCAACUAC
rnacentral:ncRNA from 15 species